GCCAGGCAUGGUGACACAUGUCUGUGGUCCCAGCUACUUGGGAGGCUGAGGCAGGAGGAUUGCUUGAGCCCAGGAGGUUGAGGCUGCAGUGAACUGUGAUGGCACUACUGCAUUCCAGCCUGGGCAACAGAGCGAGACCCUGUCUCUA
rfam:Pan troglodytes isolate Yerkes chimp pedigree #C0471 (Clint) chromosome 19, whole genome shotgun sequence.